rnacentral:rRNA from 1 species
GAUGAACGCUGGCGGCGUGCCUAAUACAUGCAAGUCGAGCGAAUGGAUUGAGAGCUUGCUCUUAUGAAGUUAGCGGCGGACGGGUGAGUAACACGUGGGUAACCUGCCCAUAAGACUGGGAUAACUCCGGGAAACCGGGGCUAAUACCGGAUAACAUUUUGAACCGCAUGGUUCGAAAUUGAAAGGCGGCUUCGGCUGUCACCUAUGGAUGGACCCGCGUCGCAUUAGCUAGUUGGUGAGGUAACGGCUCACCAAGGCAACGAUGCGUAGCCGACCUGAGAGGGGGAUCGGCCACACUGGGACUGAGAAACGGCCCAGACUCCUACGGGAGGCAGCAGUAGGGAAUCUUCCGCAAUGGACGAAAGUCUGACGGAGCAACGCCGCGUGAGUGAUGAAGGCUUUCGGGUCGUAAAACUCUGUUGUUAGGGAAGAACAAGUGCUAGUUGAAUAAGCUGGCACCUUGACGGUACCUAACCAGAAAGCCACGGCUAACUACGUGCCAGCAGCCGCCGUAA